CCUGUAUGCAUACAUAAACAGGUAAAAAUCAUUAAAGUUCGUUAUUGAAUAGCGUUAAUUAUUCAAACAUUUUACCACUAGAAAUGGAUAGUUACACAAAUGAAAGAUUGACAUAAUAGAAGACUGAUGAUUUCAGAAACAUCAGAGUUUCAUCCUCCUUUACGUGUGUGGAUUCUCC